AAAACACCUAUCAGUACGAGGCUGCCAGAUGAAGGAACUGUGUGAGAGUAAAGGGCACACGAUCUGGAGUCAUGGCACCUGAACUGGCUUCAGCUUUGCCCCUGCAUCACAGGCAGGUCCCCGAACCUCUCAGGCCCCAGAGCCUCGGGAUCCUUACGCUUGUGCACCCACCCCAGGGCCGCCAGCACGCACUGAGACACCUCCGUGUUCUGCAAACCGCUAGGCAAAUGAUUUUUUAAAAUUAUGAGCCAUGUCAUUUCACCACCAAUUUUAAAGUACAAUCCCCAACUAUUGGACCGGCUUGUAAAAGAUAACACUUCUCAAGAAAAACCGAGUCUCUGGAGGGGCUGACGAUGUCCUGUGCGUGGAGACGGGUGCAAUGCACGCCGUCACCAUGUGAGCGUCAGGUGGAGACACACACAAUCCCCUGUGAUGUCAGUGGCCCAAAGAAAACACAGGAAGAGGCUUUCUCUGAUCAACUUGGACCAGAAAUGAGAGAACAGAGAGCAGCUCUGGAUGUCCAGAGAGGUGAGGGGCGAGCAGGGACUCGAAUGAAACUUGCCUCUCCCAAGUCACGGAUCCUCUUUAAGAACCGCUUUUCAAAAUGUGUGGGAUCCACUUCGGUUGCCGGCUUUUUUUCUGAUACGAUGUCUGGAUCUAACAGAAGAGAAGAGAAGACAUGUGAAAGGCAGGGAGUGGCCCUCACGGGCUCCCGGCUCGGGCUGCUCAGGGCGAGGCAGCACGAGCGGAGACUUACUCUGCUCCUCCAGCUUGUUGAUGUCUCUCAUGAUGGCUCGGAAGAACGGUCUCUGGUUGGGGUC